rnacentral:lncRNA from 1 species
UUCGUUGGUACUCAAAGUUAGAUCUUUGCCGAUCUCUUUUUCUUGGUCCCCAAGUCUUUCCUCUCUUUCAACAUCUAUAUCAUUUGGCACAUCCAGUUGCAGAUUUGGUUCGGGCUCACCAUCAGUCUCAGAAUUCAUGUCAUAGAGCCAAGUGUAUUGAAGAUGGAAGUUCAACGCAUGUGCUAUCUGCCCCAAUUGAUUUU